rnacentral:snoRNA from 15 species
GUGCCGGAUUUAAACACUUCUGAGUUGCUCACAUGCUCAGAAGAACAAGGUUCGGAAAAUUAGUGAUCAUUUGAUGUGCUGAACUCCAAAGAGUCAAAACUGAGUUGGUGAUCGUACAUUU